rnacentral:rRNA from 1 species
GACGAACGCUGGCGGCGUGCUUAACACAUGCAAGUCGAACGGAAAGGCCCUGCUUUUGUGGGGUGCUCGAGUGGCGAACGGGUGAGUAACACGUGAGUAACCUGCCCUUGACUUUGGGAUAACUUCAGGAAACUGGGGCUAAUACCGGAUAGGAGCUCCUGCUGCAUGGUGGGGGUUGGAAAGUUUCGGCGGUUGGGGAUGGACUUGCGGCUUAUCAGCUUGUUGGUGGGGUAGUGGCUUACCAAGGCUUUGACGGGUAGCCGGCCUGGGAGGGUGACCGGCCACAUUCGGACUGAGAUGCGGCCCAGACUCCUACGGGGGGCAGCGGUGGGAAAUAUUGCACAAUGGGCGGAAGGCGGGUGCAACGACGCCGCGUGCGGGAUGACGGCCUUCGGGUUGUAAACCGCUUGCGCCUGUGACGAAGCGUGAGUGACGGUAAUGGAUAAAGAAGCACCGGCUAACUACGUG